rnacentral:rRNA from 1 species
AUCUAUAGCCAUACCAUCCUGAUGGUGCCCAAUCUAGCCUAAUCUUGGAAGCUAAGCAGGGUUGGGUCUAGUUAGUACUUGGAUGGGAGAACACCUGGAAUUACCAGGUCCUGUAGGAU